UUAUACUUUUGGUGUACGUGCAUACACUGAUAGAGGACCAGGAAACUGGACAGUUAUUGCUAAUGAGACAUUGAUCAGUACUCAAUUUGUGACUUUAACACUAGUACAUGUACUCACUAGUACAAGUACAAGUACUAGUACUCAAGAAGUAUGCAUAAGAUCAACUAAUACAGUUGCAGGAGCUGUUGAUGGUAUUAGUAUUGGACUGUUUGCAGUUGUUGGAUUAUUAUUAAUAUCACUAGCUAUUAGUAUUAUUAUUCAUAUCUCCUGCUUAAUCAAGCUCAAGUCCUAUCAUAGGAUCACUGCUAAACAAGCAAAUAAGUAACUCUUUAAGAA